CGCACUAGUCGGGGAGUUAGCGGUGCCCUGUACCUGCAAACCGCUACAGCAGGGAUGAAUUCCCACACCCGGUUAGGUGUAAUGUACCACCGGCCCGUGUAAGAGGUGUUGAGAAAUCGGUCUUGCGCAAUGAGAUCCCGUGAACCAUGUCAGGUGGGGAACCAAGCAGCAUUAAGCGGAUCUUCUCGUGUGCCGCAGGAUUGCCGAUUUUGAGCUUUCUGCACGGCUCUGGGGGUGUGUUG
rnacentral:SRP_RNA from 1 species